CGCGCAGGCGGCUGUUCAAGUCCGAUGUGAAAGCUUCCGGCUUAACUGGAAAACGGCAUCGGAUACUGGACGGCUGGAAGGUGGGAGAGGGUAGCGGAAUUCCCGGUGUAGUGGUGAAAUGCGUAGAUAUCGGGAGGAACACCAGUGGCGAAAGCGGCUACCUGGCCCACUCUUGACGCUGAGGCGCGAAAGCUAGGGGAGCAAACGG
rnacentral:rRNA from 1 species